GAGCAGCCCGGUUGCCGUGGCAACGCGGCGCCGGGUCGGGCUGCCGGGGGCCGAGUGCCCCCUCCCGGGUCCUGGGCGGAUCGGGGCAGCCUGCCCGUACCCGCACAGACCGCUCGGAAGGCCGUUCUCCAGCUGUGCCGGGAUCCCUGCGGAUGGAGGCACCGAGGAGCAGCGUAACCUCCCCUUCUCACAGGGAGAUGAUCGGCCAGUGUUAUUGCAACACGUACAAAGCAUAGAGCAUUUCAGAACAGCUCAAUUCUACACCGUUUGCAUUCAGGCCAAUUGGAAAUGUAGGUGCCAGCCUGAAAACCUCUUAUCACAAGAAGGAGAUAAUCCUAAGGGAUAUGACGAGAGUAGGCCAGGUGUGAUAUGCAUGCUCCUAGUGUACGUGGCUGUGUAGGAGAUUCUGGGGUCAGCUCCUCCUGUUGACUCAGGUGAGAGCACAUGCUGCAGUCAGUGUCUGUGCAGUCACAGAGGCUCUCACGCAGUCUCUGGAGCUUAAAAGUGCGAGUUUCCGUGGCAGCCUCAUUCUCGAGCUUCAGGUCUUCAUGCUUUUGGCACUGUCCCUGCAGCCUGUAUUUUUGGUGUUUUUGGUUACACCUCUAAGAGUCCUUUCAGCAUUAAUUGUCACAGAAAUGACGCCUGAUGCAGCAGAUCGAGAUUCCUGCAAUUCCUGCAGGAAACCUGCACCAGGACUGGGAAAUCAGGAUCUGUGGCAGAGUAGGAAAACUGGAGUUUGUGCAGCAGCAGCAAGCCCCAACAUUCCCUGCACAGAAGCUAGAGACAUUAGUUUGCCAAGAGAAACGGCAAGAUGUUGUCAGCACCAGGAGUUCUGGGGAAAGGAGAAGCACAAGGACUGUUUCCAGCCUGGGUCUUCUCUCACCGCUCAGCACCGUCACUUUGCUUUUGAGCAGAACAUAAGCACCUUCACUGCCCCAAAAGCACAGAGACUGAUUGUUCCCUGCUCACACCAGUGUGAAUCAGCAGUGACCCCACCGCAGCCUAUAGAAUCACAUCAAUGUAAAGGUGACGUCAGAGAGAUAGCAAUCAAAGCCCUUGUUUCAAAGUUAAUUGUUUUUGCUGAAAAAAGAUGAGUACAGAACAUGUUUGUUCUCCUUCUCAACUGAAAUGUCAAAUAAAUGCUGCAGUUUGGGCUUCUGCUCCAUGUGGGAUUUGUACACGUGGAUCAUGUUGCAAAAAACAGGGCCUUAGUCACAGCAAUCACGCUAAGAGUCCAUGGCCUUGAUCUGAUUGUAAGGAAGGGGGAGGGCUUUGCCCCUAUUUGUUUGCUGUCAUUGAGACCUCUUUUUCCACAUCCAGAGCCAAUGGCAAACCAUCAUCUGCUGUCAGCAAUAUGGCUACAACAACAAAUACGUGCUGCAUGUAAAGCCAUUCCUCAGCUGUUUCACCACGUCCCUCGCUCUGCACGCUUAAUGCUUUCAGCAUUUCACUCGGCAAA